rnacentral:lncRNA from 1 species
GCAACUAGAGAGGAGUUCCGGCCUGCACCCCCGCCGCCUCUCACUUGGUACCUUCCGACUCCUCCACCCCGCGGCUCGGGAAGCUUCUCCGUAGAACUGAAAGAGCGGCGGGGUAGCGGGGAGGGGCCGGCGGAAGGGGCGGGCGGGCGCUGGGGGCGGGGCGGUCACGCCGCCCGUCCCGUGCCCGCGGAGUCACGUGCCUGCAUCGCAGCCAAUCGCCGGGCGGCGCUGUCCUGGGAGCGAGGAGGCUGUGGUGAGAGACGGACGGAGACCGGAGAUGUUUUCAAGCCCGGCCUCCGCGGCGUUCGUGGCGGUUGCAGCGGCGACGAAGACAACGAUAGCGACGGCAACACCGAGGCACUCGUUCAGGGGGUAAACCCUCCUGCACCGAUCGUGCCUCGGGUCCGUGAGGGUGAGGGGGGCGUGGCGACUGGCGAGGAGGAAGGAGGGGCGCGGUUUCGAGCCCCGUCCCCGGCGCUUGGGAGGAGAUCCCCUCAGUUCUGCGCUGCUCCCGUCCCCCCUCUCCAGAGCAAGGUAGGGGACGCGCCCUGCCCACCCUGUCUCGUGCCGCCCGGCCUGGCCAGGCGCGGCCCGCGGCGCCGCUGGCCUGACAGUGACAGGCCGUUAGUGGCCCCGGCGCGGGUCCGCCCCGCCCGCCGCCGCNNNNNNNNNNNNNNNNNNNNNNNNNNNNNNNNNNNNNNNNNNNNNNNNNCGGGGGUGGGGGCGCGCCCAGCCCGCCGCGCGCGCCCGUCCGCCCGCCGGGAGCCGGGGUGCGGGCGCGGCCCUGGAGAGCGCUGCGGCCCCACCCGGAGGGAGCAUCGGAGGUACCGGGGUCCGGGGGAGAGGAGGAUGAAAGGGAGAAGGGAAAUUGCCGCUUUAAUAAUCUCAGGGAAAAGGAGAGCGGCACGCUGCAGUUCUGUCUUAAAUGCCAGUGUAAUCUGUCUUUGCCGCAUUGGGCAAUCGGUUCUCUUAUGGUUCUGCAAGUGCUCAUUCGAAUGGUGUUGGUAG